rnacentral:rRNA from 1 species
AGUGAACGCUGGCGGUAGGCCUAACACAUGCAAGUCGAACGGCAGCACAGUAAGAGCUUGCUCUUACGGGUGGCGAGUGGCGGACGGGUGAGGAAUACAUCGGAAUCUACUUUUUCGUGGGGGAUAACGUAGGGAAACUUACGCUAAUACCGCAUACGACCUACGGGUGAAAGCAGGGGAUCUUCGGACCUUGCGCGAUUGAAUGAGCCGAUGUCGGAUUAGCUAGUUGGCGGGGUAAAGGCCCACCAAGGCGACGAUCCGUAGCUGGUCUGAGAGGAUGAUCAGCCACACUGGAACUGAGGCACGGUCCAGACUCCUACGGGAGGCAGCAGUGGGGAAUAUUGGACAAUGGGCGCAAGCCUGAUCCAGCCAUACCGCGUGGGUGAAGAAGGCCUUCGGGUUGUAAAGCCCUUUUGUUGGGAAAGAAAAGCAGCAGGUUAAUACCCCGCUGUUCUGACGGUACCCAAAGAAUAAGCGUCGGCUAACUUCGUG